UGCUGGUUACAUUUUUGGCGUCUAGCCA
rnacentral:sRNA from 1 species